rnacentral:rRNA from 1 species
UACGAAGGGGGCUAGCGUUGCUCGGAAUUACUGGGCGUAAAGGGAGCGUAGGCGGACUGUUAAGUUAGAGGUGAAAGCCCAGGGCUCAACCUUGGAAUUGCCUUUGAUACUGGCAGUCUUGAGUACGGAAGAGGUAUGUGGAACUCCGAGUGUAGAGGUGAAAUUCGUAGAUAUUCGGAAGAACACCAGUGGCGAAGGCGACUCGCUGGACAGACAUUGACGCUGAGGUGCGAAAGCGUGGGGAGCAAACAGG